CAGGGUUUAGUUUAUUGAGAACAGUCGACUGUUAAUCGAAAAGGGGAGAUGCCUCCAGGCCUGG
rnacentral:tRNA from 1 species